AUUAAGACUAAGAUUAGGAAUAGUAGAGAGCAAUAAAUUUUUCAGCGAGCUGAUGGUUGGUGAGAAUCAGUAGGUUUAGACUCUUGAACUCACCUAUGAGUAAUUGCCUGACAAUGUAGGGUAUAUCGGAAUUCUCCGUUAUCAGAAUAGAUAGUGUUAGCUAUUGAAAGAGUGGAUUUUUUGUAUAUUUAUAUACUUUUUUAAGUGUAUAUAAAUUUAUAAAAAAUCAAUUAGAGUGGUACCACGGGAAUAUAACCUCGUCUCUUAA
rnacentral:ncRNA from 1 species